UACGGAGGGUGCAAGCGUUAUCCGGAAUCAUUGGGUUUAAAGGGUGCGCAGGCGGAGCAGUAAGUCAGUGGUGAAAACCUACGGCUCAACCGUGGACUUGCCAUUGAUACUGCUGCUCUUGAGUACGGCCGGAGUGGGCGGAAUGCGUCAUGUAGCGGUGAAAUGCAUAGAUAUGACGCAGAACACCGAUCGCGAAAGCAGCUCACUAGACCGUAACUGACGCUGAGGCACGAAAGCGUGGGGAGCGAACAGG
rnacentral:misc_RNA from 1 species